AAUUAGGUUAUAGGGACAUGUUUGGGACACUUUUGUGUAAGUGUUCCAUUUAUGCCGACACUUAAAAAAAAAAAUCUACUAAUGCCUAAAUAUAAAGCCCAAUCUAACCAAAAAUAAAAGAUUAUCUACUCAACUCACCUCACCAAGCCUAUUCCGUCCGAUUACAAAUAGAAAAGAAAAAAAAAAUAUCGAUUACCAUCUCCUCUCCUCCUCUCACUCAAUCCACUGAAAUCCUAGACGAAGAGCCCUUCCCUCUCCUCCUCCUCAACCACCGCAGCCAAUGAGGUAGAGUUCCGGCAGUUGCUAAAUGCUUAAAUAAGUGUUGGUAAAUUAGUAGCACUUUUUUUAGGUUAUAGCGACACUCUUUAACUGUAACUAUAUACCUAGCGACCCCACAUAUAGCAACACUUUUUAAAAGUGUCGGUAAUUUAGCCAGCAACACUUUUUUUGACCUAUACCGACAUUUAAAAGUGUCGCUAUAGACCGUUUUUGUUGCAGUAAGGGUUGCUCCAAGAGGGGGCUUGGUGGAGAAGAAGACUUGGUGGAGGGUGAAGUUGGUUUUUGUGCGAA
rnacentral:lncRNA from 1 species